GAAUUUAGAAACCCUAGGUGAUGGGGUCUUCGAAGUGGAAGAGAUAAGAUCGAGCUGCUAUUGCCUUCUGCAUUUAGAGCUGAAGUGGUUGAGAAGUGUGGGGUACCUCAUUGGGAAGGCUUAAAGUGUUGUACAGUGAAGCAAAAGAGCUAGGUACUGAAGCAAGUUUAGCAUUAAAUUGUAUAAAGUUCAUUUGAACUUCCUGGGAGCAUUUUAAUAGAACAAUAGAGGAAGUUGCUGGAUCAAUCUCAAGGUUAGGAGAAUUCUGGUGGUGUAGAGAAAAGAAACUAAGAAGAGCCAAAGUAAGUGGCGCUAAACAUUAUCUUUGAUUCUGUGAAAUAUGGUGUUAUGAUUAUAUAAUGGGUGAAUGAUUCUUUCUAAUAUGAUGAAUGCAAAUUAACAUGUACUUU